CUGACAGCCCGGGAGAUUGACAGCCUCUAUUUACAGAGAGCAGAUACAGUGUAUGUGCACCAGCAAUGCAAACUUCCCAACCACACCAAUGGGCCUCAAUCCUGACUUUCACAGACCAGAAAAGAGUUUGGUCUUCAUGGCCCAUUUCAUCCUCCUGAAGCU
rnacentral:sRNA from 1 species